CAGGUCUGAAUGUGGGGCCAGUAGCCCCCCUGAGGGGUAGGAGGGUCCAUAAAGCGAGAAGCUGACUCACAGACCACUCAGGUAUUAUAUUAGGAUACACUUUUUAAGUGUAUGUGUAGUGGAAAAUGUAAGUCCUUUGCAGGAAGGGCAGCAAAUCCUAGGCAGGGAUGCAAGGUGCUGAAAAACAGGCCAUUAAAUUUUUAUGAGAAAAAGACUGAACCUAUCCAGGAUCUGUUACAUAUGCAGCAUGUGAGACAGGCACAGUAAGUAGAGGGAUAGCUGAAAUACUGGGCUAUCCCCCCUGAUAUAGGGAGAGGGGAGGGUGGCCACAUGGCCAGCAGGCCAGUUCUUGGGUGAGACCUGGCUGUUUGCAACGCACAGAGUCCAUGUGGCUCUGAAAAAUG